CCGAGAAUAGCUCAGCGGUAGAGCGGGAGACUGUAGUUUAAACUGCAACGCAGCUAAAAUCGUUAUCUCUAGGUCCCUGGUUCAAAUCCGGGUUCUCGGA
rnacentral:tRNA from 2 species